UGACCUCGGAUCAGACGUGAUUACCCGCUGAAUUUAAGCAUAUUAUUAAGCGAGGAAAAGAAUCUAACAAGGAUUCCCUAGUAACGGCGGAGUGAACGGGGAAGAGCCAACACCGAAUGCCCUUGCGCAGUCAAC
rnacentral:ncRNA from 1 species